GAAAUGCGAUAAGUAGUGUGAAUUGCAGAAUUCAGUGAAUCAUCGAAUCUUUGAACGCACAUUGCGCCCUUUGGUAUUCCAAAGGGCAUGCCUGUUCGAGCGUCAUUUGUACCCUCAAGCUUUGCUUGGUGUUGGGCGUCUUGUCUCUAGCUUUGCUGGAGACUCGCCUUAAAGUAAUUGGCAGCCGGCCUACUGGUUUCGGAGCGCAGCACAAGUCGCACUCUCUAUCAGCGAAGGUCUAGCAUCCAUUAAGCCUUUUUUCAACUUUUGACCUCGGAUCAGGUAGGGAUACCCGCUGAACUUAAGC
rnacentral:misc_RNA from 1 species